rnacentral:lncRNA from 1 species
GUCAUAACGGCGACCGUGAAGACUUUUAAAAUAGAGACCAACGUGGCCGGGCAGGAAGAGCAGGGUCCCGCCUUCAGGUGUUUGGGACUCAGCUGAGGGUGUGGGUGCCCCGCGGUGGGGGCUGAACCUUCCUGGGGUGUGGAGAGACGAAAGGAGCCCAGAUCCAAGUUCCCUCGUUCCCGCUUUGGCAUAAGUUGCCCUGGCGGUCUCAUGAGAGAGAGAAAGAGCUGGGACCCUCCUCGCCCCAGUGAGUGUGAUGUCUUGCUCCGGGUGUCCUGGGGCAACUUUCUAUACAGGCGGGACGUGGGAGGAUCAGACAGUGUAACAUCAGACAAGGGUGUUGACUCUGCAGCACAGAACCAGUAGUUUGUGGAGAAGAAUGGAGGUGUGGUGUUGAAUCUGCUAGACAGGCUACUGAAGCAAAAGUCAAGAGAUCCAGAUUCCAUCAUGGGGACACUUUAGUUCUUCAUCGGGUAAUUGAGCUGAUAUCAGGUGUCUGAAGGAGGCAAGUUUUGAAGAUGUGGGUCAUGAUGGCUGCUGAAGCUUCCACUCCAUAUUUGAAGGUCAGCAGUUCUCAGGAAACCUCUAGCACUUCCAUCCCUGGUGGGAUGUGAUGCCUGUCUCAGUGUAACAUCAGAGAAGGGGUGUACUCUGUGCCCUAGAACUAGGAGCUAACAGAGAAAAACCAAAUGUGAUGUGGAGUCUGCUAGACAGGCUACUGGAGCAAGAGUGAAGCGAUGAAAGUCUCAUCAUUGGGACAUAUUAGAAAAAAUGAUGGAUACAGAAGGAUAGCUGGAUGUAAGUGAAAAGUUCCAGAAAACCAUGUCUGAUCCCAUUAAUCAAGCUCCCAACUUUCAUCCCUCCCUGCCCGCUGCUGAGUCCCCUGGUCUACACUCAGAGUUGCAAUCCUGACUCUGGCCACCAAGAGGCAUUACAGCUAUCUCCACGUUCCUUGCUCUUUCUUAAUGAAAAGGGGUAAAUUUCGCAGAAAUUCCAUCCUAUGGAUAUGACAUCAGUUUUCUCAAACCUGUGUUAGUCAGAGUGUUCUGAUAUUCCCUGUUAUCUACACUGUGUGGAAGACAUCUUUUCAGAGUCUGUGCAUGGCUGAAGGGCACAGUUCCUGUAGCUGUUUACACUGGCCCAGAAAUAAAGGAAGGGAAUUUUCAGAAUGACAGUACUUAUAACCAGAUGCUUAUCAGCAUCCUUCACAAUGUCCUGAAGAUAAACUUCUAAAAGAUUCCUCAGGUGGAGUCACAGGAGAAAAUCCCAAGAGGAGUAAAAAAUAAUAAUGCUGAUGUCAUGUUAGAGUGGAGGCCCUGGAUGCUGUUGUGGACCCACUCUCCAGUUUCUUCCACAGUUAGAAGAUGUGGAAGUGAUCAGACAAUGAAAUUCGCAGUUUUAAGGAUACAACUUGAUGAUUUUCAGUAAACAAAAGUUGUGCAACCAUCACCGUAGUUGAGUUUUGGAGGUUUCCAUCACUAUAAAAUGUCCCAUCAUACUUGAACGCAGUUAAUCCCUGCUUUCACCCCCAGCUCCAGGAAUCACAGCGCAGAGCUUUUAUGCAGAUGACUGAACCCGUGGAGUUAGGUGGCUGAGAGGAUGCAGCUUCCCAGGUCUCUACAACUGAUGGCAGCAAGAUGGGAGCACCCAGCUACAGUGUUCAGAAGUAGAUUUAGGCAGACUACCACACCUUACAUGCUAGAGGGAUCCACACUGACCUGAGUAGAGCAGGAUAUUGAUGUACAACAAGAUUCUCUGAUCAGAAAGAGAGGCAGAACUAGCAGCCUGGCUUCAGAGGUGAAGAUACAGAUGUCAGUAGUGACCCAGUGUGACAUGCAUAAAGGAAUUUCUUAUUGAGCCCCAGGAAGAAGAAACACUACAUAAGAGCAAAUAAUAAAAUCGGUCAGAUAGACAGAAGAUGGGAGUCAUCAAACCUGUAUCCCUCUUGCCAGACCUAUCAACUGACCAUACGUCAUUCAGGAGGCAGCAGGUGGCUGAAAUCCUGGUGUGAUGUGGCUGGAUCAUGCAUGAUCUGAGGACUCCUGCACAGGUGACUGCAGGAUGAGUACAGAAUUUUUCUAUAAAUAUACUAAAAUACCAAGUAAGCCAGGAGCAGCCACUAGGCAAACACCAAACCUUGCAUUCCUGGCCAAACCUAUCACAGAGCUCAUCAGAUGCAGUGGAUCCCCAGGUUGCAAGUCAUAUAACCUGAGCAUGCCCAGAUGAACCAAGUAUGCCUGAUUGGUGAACCUGGAACUGGCCAGAACAGAAAAUGUCAACCACAUGUGGAAUCUAAGUAUUCAGAUUGAGAAAUGAGGACCAAAAUGAGAACACUGAGCUCCUCACACAGGUGACUGAACCCGUGGUUUUGGUGUCUGAGAAGAUGCAGCUUCUCCAGUCUCUGCAACUGACGGCAGGAAGAUGGGAGCACUCAGCUUCAGUGUUCAGAAGCAGAUUUAGGCCAAUUGCCAUACCUUACGUUCUGGAGGGAUCCACCCUGACCUGAGCAGAAGGCAUCACACACAUUCCCAAGCAGCAUGGUUCCCGUGAGAAACUGAAAACUAAUUUCUUGAAUCUACAAUGCGACUUCCA